CACGUAGGGUGCAAGCGUUUGUCCGGAAUUAUUGGGCGUAAAGAGCUCGUAGGCGGCCCUGUUGCGUCCGCUGUGAAAGCCCGGGGCUUAACCCCGGGUCGGCAGUGGAUACGGGCAGGCUAGAGGUAGGUAGGGGAGAAUGGAAUUCCCGGUGUAGCGGUGAAAUGCGCAGAUAUCGGGAGGAACACCAUGGCGAAGGCAGCUCGCUGGGACGGUACUGACGCUGAGGCGCGAAAGCGUGGGGAGCAAACAGG
rnacentral:rRNA from 1 species